UUUAGAGGAAGUAAAAGUCGUAACAAGGUUUCCGUAGGUGAACCUGCGGAAGGAUCAUUAUUGAAAUUUUGAAAGGAGUUGUUGCUGGCCCUUUGGGGCAUGUGCACGCUUCGGUUCAAUCCAUCUUCACCCCUGUGCACCCUUUGUAGUUGGCCGCGAGGCCUUCCUAUGUUUUAUCUAUAAACUCUUAUUGUCAUCGAAUGUCAUAGCGUAUAACGCAUCUUUAAUACAACUUUCAGCAACGGAUUCUUGGCUCUCGCAUCGAUGAAGAACGCAGCGAAAUGCGAUAAGUAAUGGAAUUGCAGAAUUCAGUGAAUCAUCGAAUCUUUGAACGCACCUUGCGCUCUUGGUAUUCCGAGGAGCAUGCCUGUUUGAGUGUCAUGGAAAUAUCAACCUUCUGUCUUUAUUGACAAGUGAGGGCUUGGACUUGGAGGUUUUUUUUGUGGUCUCAUUUUAAUUUUGAGUCGGCUCCUCUUGAAUGAAUUAGCUUGACCUUUGCGGAUCAGCUGCUCGGUGUGAUAAUUGUCUACGCCGUCAACUGGAGGCCCUUUGUUGGUUUGUGGUCAGGCUUCCAAUCGAUCGUCUUGUGAGAGACAUCAACCUUUUUAUGACCUUUGACCUCAAAUCAGGCAGGAUUACCGCUGAACUUAAGCAUAUCAAUA
rnacentral:rRNA from 1 species